CACUUUGGGCCAGAAGGUCCCCAGUUUGACAUGCCUAAGUACUUUAAGUCAUUUAACCUUGGCUUUGUUUUGCGGUUUGCUGUAGGUGCUCUUAACUGAUGGCACAGGUUGGUCAACUAGUAGAACCUUAGAGCUCCGCUUGCUUUCCCUUUAAUUGAUUCACUGUAUGGGGCUGUCAGCGGUCCAACCUGGAGAAAAGGAGCUAGACUGUCAAAAGCGAGUGGACGGCCUAAAAGAGGCGCGUGAGUCACAUGAAUAUGGAAAUUUAUGCAUGAAAGUUCCCACAAGACUGUGGUGGGAAGAUGUCGCUCACCGUGGAGCUCCGCUGGGGGACUUUAGGGCUGGCUGGCUCGCUCAGUCUUCCUCAGUCACACUGACGCACUAGCUGCUCAAAUGGCGUCUUUCAGCGAGGCUCUCUCAGAGAGGGGGCUCUUCAGACUCUGGCCUGUUGAGGAGUUCUUUUGUGAUGCACAUCAGCUCCCCUGACACUGGAAAUGUAGAUAGUAUUAAAAAUACUACAGUGUCA